rnacentral:rRNA from 1 species
UACGAAGGGUGCGAGCGUUAUUCGGAAUCACUGGGCGUAAAGGGUGCGUAGACGGUAUGUUAAGUUUGUCGUUAAAGACUCUAGCCUAACUGGAGGGUUGCGAUGAAAACUGGCAAGCUAGAGGGUGAGAGAGAAGUGGAAUUCCUGGAGUAGCGGUAAAAUGCGUGGAUCUCAGGAGGAACACCAAUGGCGAAGGCAGCUUCUUGGCUCAUUCCAGACGUUGAGGCACGAAAGCGUGGGGAGCGAACAGG